GGUAUGCAAGGACGCGAAGUAUCUGCGUCAGCACAGCCUUUCGGUCGCCGUUGAUUUUACAUACUACAACAAAAUCAGCUUUCAUCAGCCACCAUCAAACCCACAUCAACUUCGAUCACUUCCCAGUAAUUGAUGAUUUUUCUUCAUGUUAUUUCUUAAUUCCUAUAAUUUUAAGAAACCUUAAACCCUUGAAGUAGUUGAAUACAGAAACGGAGGAUGUCAGUGUCGUUUUCAAAUUUUCCAGCACCAUUACCGGUUAGUUUUCUAUACAUGGGAUUGUCUAUUUAUUUCUUUAUUUUUGUUUUUAAUUGAAAAAAGUUUUGUUUGUUUGAUGACUUUUGUUGAAAUUGUAUAUGGGUUGUUUGGUUUCUAGAAAAUGAUGAUAGGAAACUAUAAUUUGUAGAUGAUCUUAAAGAACUGUAUUGCAUGAUAUUAAUAAUGUGUAUUUAAUUUUCAAUCUGGCAUAAUUCUUUGGAUUGAAAAUGAAAGGAUAUACGAAUCUUGAUUAAGUGCAUUUCAUUGGGAUUUUUCAGCAAUUAAAAAUGGAUUUUGCUUCUUCCAAUGAGUUUUGCGUCCAAUUACAUAUUGAAACACUUCAAUUUGUGUCAUAGUAUCUGAAAGCACCUCACGAGUGCUAUUGUUAUAUGUAUUGGCAUUUUCAGUUUUGUUACUGUUAUUACAUGGGAAAACUUGGUACCUUGCUUCACUAAUUUGUCGGGUAGCAGUAGUUGCAUCUUUGGCAUGAUAGAGCCUUAUAAAUGGGGAGUACAACCAUAUUUGCUAAAUUUCGAGUAUAAUAGAGUCGUACACUAGUUAUGCAAGGCACAAUUGUCUUGCUUUUGUUGUAUCUAGGCAACAGGAAAAAAUACUCAC
rnacentral:lncRNA from 1 species